rnacentral:rRNA from 1 species
UAUACAUGCAGUCGAGCGGACAGAAGGGAGCUUGCUCCCGGAUGUUAGCGGCGGACGGGUGAGUAACACGUGGGUAACCUGCCUGUAAGACUGGGAUAACUCCGGGAAACCGGAGCUAAUACCGGAUAGUUCCUUGAACCGCAUGGUUCAAGGAUGAAAGACGGUUUCGGCUGUCACUUACAGAUGGACCCGCGGCGCAUUAGCUAGUUGGUGGGGUAAUGGCUCACCAAGGCGACGAUGCGUAGCCGACCUGAGAGGGUGAUCGGCCACACUGGGACUGAGACACGGCCCAGACUCCUACGGGAGGCAGCAGUAGGGAAUCUUCCGCAAUGGACGAAAGUCUGACGGAGCAACGCCGCGUGAGUGAUGAAGGUUUUCGGAUCGUAAAGCUCUGUUGUUAGGGAAGAACAAGUGCGAGAGUAACUGCUCGCACCUUGACGGUACCUAACCAGAAAGCCACGGCUAACUACGUGCCAGCAGCCGCGGUAAUACGUAGGUGGCAAGCGUUGUCCGGAAUUAUUGGGCGUAAAGGGCUCGCAGGCGGUUUCUUAAGUCUGAUGUGAAAGCCCCCGGCUCAACCGGGGAGGGUCAUUGGAAACUGGGAAACUUGAGUGCAGAAGAGGAGAGUGGAAUUCCACGUGUAGCGGUGAAAUGCGUAGAGAUGUGGAGGAACACCAGUGGCGAAGGCGACUCUCUGGUCUGUAACUGACGCUGAGGAGCGAAAGCGUGGGGAGCGAACAGGAUUAGAUACCCUGGUAGUCCACGCCGUAAACGAUGAGUGCUAAGUGGUUAGGGGGUUUCCGCCCCUUAGUGCUGCAGCUAACGCAUUAAGCACUCCGCCUGGGGGAGUACGGUCGCAAGACUGAAACUCAAAGGAAUUGACGGGGGC